rnacentral:rRNA from 1 species
CCUACGGGAGGCAGCAGUCGGGAAUUUUGGGCAAUGGGCGCAAGCCUGACCCAGCAACGCCGCGUGAAGGAUGAAGUUUUUCGGAAUGUAAACUUCGUAAAAAUAGGAAGAAUAAAUGACGGUACUAUUUGUAAGGUCCGGCUAACUACGUGCCAGCAGCCGCGGUAAUACGUAGGGACCAAGCGUUGUUCGGAUUUACUGGGCGUAAAGGGCGCGUAGGCGGCGUAACAAGUCACUUGUGAAAUCUCCGGGCUUAACUCGGAACGGUCAAGUGAUACUGUUGUGCUAGAGUACAGAAGGGGCAAUCGGAAUUCUUGGUGUAGCGGUGAAAUGCGUAGAUAUCAAGAGGAACACCAGAGGCGAAGGCGGAUUGCUAGGCUGAUACUGACGCUGAGGCGCGAAAGCUAGGGUAGCAAACGGGAUUAGAUACCCCGGUAGUCCUAGCCCUAAACGAUGAAUACUUGGUGUCUGGAGUUUAAUUCUCUGGGUGCCGUCGCUAACGUUUUAAGUAUUCCGCCUGGGGAGUACGCACGCAAGUGUGAAACUCAAAGGAAUUGACGG